AUUCUAACAUAUUAUAUCCCCAAACAACACUAGAUAAGUCAUUUAGUGGUUUAACGAAACGUUUCCGAGUUCUUAGACCAUUUGGGACCCAAUUUCAACAAGUCUUUCUCCACACUUCUAAACACUCUUCAUGCAUCUCUAGCACUUGUAAUCAAUCAUAUUUAUUAUAUUCUAACAUAUUCUAACCCCAAACAACACUAGAUAAGUCAUUUAAUGGUUCAACGCAAUGUUUCCGAGUUCUUAGCCCAUUUGGAAC
rnacentral:lncRNA from 1 species